AUCGGUGUGUGUGAGCUGUGGUCACGAGUGGCCAGGAACAGGUCACCCUCUCGUUCCUGAACCAGGUCGCUGCUUGCCCCCACAAGGGCAACAAGUGGUGCUGAAACCCGGGAGAACACCUGUGCUCCAGGAACAGCUGUCGGAGCUGCGGGAUAGGCUCAGCAGGCGGAGUUUGCGAAGAGGGGGGGAUGCCCCCCAGGGACCCCGAGGACCAUGGAGGUUCUUGUGAAGAGGAUGGAGAACGGUGGUUGCCAGCCAAGUGGGUGCGACCCUGGCUACGUGCUGAAACCAAGGAAAACAAGGAGGAUAAUCAAACGGCGUUAGAAGAGAUCGCUGCCUUAGAAGCUUUACACAACGUCAGCAAAGACAACUGAUCUGAGCUAAAUGUUGAACAAUAUGUAUUGGUUAUCUGCUAUUAUAAUUAUUUUUGUGGUGCAGGAGAAAUUUGGUUUGGCUAGUAAGGAUAGUUUUUGGGUGAAUUGGUCAAAGAGGACAAAUAACCCAUCUUUUUGCUUACAUUUAUCAGCUCUUAUCCAUUUCAAACUUGUUUGAUAGGGUUGCAAUUUGAUGAUCAACGCACUCUGCUAGCCUCCUUUUCAUCCCUCACACGUCAAGAUUGCUCCACAGCAAAACAUAUAAGUCAUUGUAUGGCAUUAAUAGUUGCAAGCCUCAAUGACCCUUUACCAUGGGAUCCUCUAGAGCUCAAUCUGUUAGGAAGUAGAAUGCCAAAUCAGUCAGGAUUUUUGAGAUUCGGUUCUUACGAUCUGAUGAGUCAUCAAAUAACAGACCUGACACCCUGCCAUUUUCCCUAUUGGCGUGUUCCUGAUUUUUGUACUAAAGACAUGGUUUACGGUUGGAAUGAAAAUGGAAUGUACUUUAAUAUUACCAAAGCCUAAGAUUGCCUAAAGAUGUAUUCCUGAUCUGUGGUAGAAGAGCAUGGCCUGGAAUCCCAAAAGAAAGUAACGGAGGGCCAUGUUACAUCGGUCACCUUUCUUUAUUAACUCCCACUUCAGAAUUUAUCCGACGUCAUAUUGCAAGUAGUAAAACUCCAUUAAGAAGCCGUAGAAAUAUAGAGGUGUUAACCCCUGAUUGUAAUGAUGACAUGGAUCUUUGGUCUCAUAGAGCAAGAUUUUUUGGAGCAUUGUUUCCCCAAGCAGGGACAACGCACGCCUUGUGUGCUAUUCAGGGAUUAGCAUGUUGGACAGCAAAACAAGCUAAUGUUACUAGUGUUAUUUCUCAGCUUGCAGCAGAUCAAAAUAGUUUGCGAAAGGCUACCUUGCAAAAAUAGAGCCGCCAUAGAUUACUUGCUUUUAGUACAAGGAAGAGGCUGUGAAGAUGUAGAAGGAAUGUGUUGUUUUAACCUGUCUGAUCAUAGUGAUUCAAUCCGUAAAAAGGUAGAUUGGCUUCAGCAUCAUACAGAAAAAAUUACAAAGAAUCAUAAUCCUUUUGAUGAUUGGCUGAUGUCAUGGGGAAUUUCAGCUUGGGCAAAAGAGUUAAUCAAAACUGUAGGAAUAGUAUUGCUUAUUGUUAUUGUUUUACUGUUUAUAGGACCCUGCAUCUUCCGAUGUCUAUCCUGGCAGAUGCAUCGGAUCGCUGCUACAGUGUUUGAAAAG